rnacentral:rRNA from 1 species
AACGAACGCUGGCGGCAGGCUUAACACAUGCAAGUCGAACGCCCCGCAAGGGGAGUGGCAGACGGGUGAGUAACGCGUGGGAAUCUACCUAGUUCUACGGAACAACUGAGGGAAACUUCAGCUAAUACCGUAUACGCCCUACGGGGGAAAGAUUUAUCGGAAUUAGAUGAGCCCGCGUAAGAUUAGCUAGUCGGUGGGGUAAUGGCCUACCAAGGCGACGAUCUUUAGCUGGUCUGAGAGGAUGAUCAGCCACACUGGGACUGAGACACGGUCCAGACUCCUACGGGAGGCAGCAGUGGGGAAUAUUGGACAAUGGGCGCAAGCCUGAUCCAGCCAUGCCGCGUGAGUGAUGAAGGCCUUAGGGUUGUAAAGCUCUUUCAGUGGGGAAGAUAAUGACGGUACCCACAGAAGAAGCCCCGGCUAACUUCGUGCCAGCAGCCGCAGUAAAAC